rnacentral:lncRNA from 1 species
UGGGGGUUUACAUCCAGCCACAUGGAAGACCCAUUCAAACUUAGUCUUUAUGAGUUUGACCAUGUCAUUAUGUAGAGUAUCUUUGUAAUCAAUUCUCCCUUUGACUCCACCUUGUAUAAACCACUAUAUAUAGUGGUGUAAGCAAUAAGAAAUAGACAACACAUUCCCACAAAUCUUCUUUCAAAUCUCAACAAUGUACUUAUUAUUACGUCUCAAUAUUUUUUUUCUCAAAAAAUUUGCAGGUGGCCUUUGGAAAAACAUACAUUCAACCUCUUAUUUUAAGAGUG